UCUUCUGAUGGUACAGUCUCGGGGAGGAAACCUCCCUUUUCUUCCCAUCCGAAAGCAGUUUACAACCCGAAGGGCUGUCAUCCUGCACGCGGCGUCGCUGGGUCAGGGUUGCCCCCAUUGCCCAAAAUUCCUC
rnacentral:rRNA from 1 species